rnacentral:rRNA from 1 species
GACGAACGCUGGCGGCGUGCUUAACACAUGCAAGUCGAACGGAAAGGCCCUGCUUUUGUGGGGUGCUCGAGUGGCGAACGGGUGAGUAACACGUGAGUAACCUGCCCUUGACUUUGGGAUAACUUCAGGAAACUGGGGCUAAUACCGGAUAGGAGCUCCUGCUGCAUGGUGGGGGUUGGAAAGUUUCGGCGGUUGGGGAUGGACUCGCGGCUUAUCAGCUUGUUGGUGGGGUAGUGGCUUACCAAGGCUUUGACGGGUAGCCGGCCUGAGAGGGUGACCGGCCACAUUGGGACUGAGAUACGGCCCAGACUCCUACGGGAGGCAGCGGUGGGGAAUAUUGCACAAUGGGCGGAAGCCUGAUGCAGCAGCGCCGCGUGCGGGAUGACGGCCUUCGGGUUGUAAACCGCUUUCGCCUGUGACGAAGCGUGAGUGACGGUAAUGGGUAAAGAAGCACCGGCUAACUACGUG